UCAAAGGAGAGAGCUAUGUUUGGAAAAAGUAAAGCCUUGCCAAGAAGCACACAUGUAAUAAGUGGCAAAACUGAAACCAAUCUUUUUUUUUUUUUUUAAUUUGGGGCAGCGGGGAGUAUUGCAUGUGGACCCACAGCUGGCCUGCGAGUGGCAAGUAGAAAUUUGUUUCUUAGCCAGUGGCGGGCUGGAGCUUCUGGUACCAGUUCCAGAGGGAGGAGUGUUAAACAUUCGGGAUUUUGGCAGGCAGGUUAACCGUGGUAGCUGGAAAUGUGCCAGAGUCAGAGUAUGUACUAAGGCUUCCGUUGUGUGGCUUGGCGGCUUGCUGCUUCAUUCCCAUCAGAGGGCAAAGGCUGAAAGAGAAAGAAAUCUCCGUGACUAGCCUAAAACAACACAAAUUGCAGGCUUCCAGAGAGAUGUGGGGGGAGCCAGGGCUGCUGCUGCUGUGCAUUCAGCAAGACUUCCUGGAACGUAAUGUCAUCAUGAGAUUGUCUCCAUGGCAGACCUGGAGUUCCGGUUGCAGAACUGGCAAAAUAUGGGGAUGGCAAGACAGAUGAAGUCCUGGCACUUAAUGUCUGUGAAGACAGAAGUAUUUUUACACAUUCGAAUGCUCUAGCUCCAUCCUCUCCUGUUUUCUUCCUCCUUCUUCCUCUUCAUCCUCCUCUCUACUCAAAAUCUGCCCCCUGACCCCAUUUUACAGUUGUUAAACUUCCACGGUGGGUUCCCACCAAGCAUACUAAACUAGAUAUCUUGAGAAACGCGAAAAUGUGUGUUGAGGUGAGAAUUUGGCACAUGGAUCAAGCCACCUCCCUUUCUAAGAUGGACCUGCCUUAAUGUACCCAUUGUUUCUUCAACAAUCCCCGUUGAAGACAGCUUCCCUGGUGGCUUAGUGGUAAAGAAUCUGCCUGCCAAUGCAGGAGACAUGGGUUCGAUCCCUGGUCCAGGAGGAUCCCACAGGCCACAGAGCAGCUAAGCCUGUGUACCACAACCAUUAAGCCUGUGCUCCAGAGCCUGGGAGCCACAACUGCUGAAAUCCCCAAGCCCUGGAGCCCAUGCUCUGGAACAAGAGAAACCACUGUGGUGGGAAGCCUGCGCACCACAACCAGAGAGUGGGCCCUGCUCGCAGCAAAUAG
ensembl:lncRNA